rnacentral:rRNA from 1 species
CGACGUAAGAACUUAGCCUCACAGCUAGGGACAACAUUUAGAAAUGAAUGCUAAUACCUGAUAUUAUUGAUUUUAAGGCAUCUUAGAAUUAUGAAAGCUAUAAGCACUGUGAGAGAGCUUUGCGUCCCAUUAGCUAGUUGGAGAGGUAACAGCUCACCAAGGCGAUGAUGGGUAGCCGGCCUGAGAGGGUGAACGGCCACAAGGGGACUGAGACACGGCCCUU